GCACGAAGCCGGAAUCGCUAGUAAUCGCGGAUCAGAAUGCCGCGGUGAAUACGUUCCCGGGUCUUGUACACACCGCCCGUCACACCACGGGAGCCGGAAAUGCCCGAAGUCGGUGACCCAACCGCAAGGGGGAGCCGCCGAAGGCAGGUCCGGUGACUGGGGUGAAGUCGUAACAAGGUAUC
rnacentral:rRNA from 1 species